rnacentral:rRNA from 1 species
AUGGGAAAGAGGAAGAGGGAAAGGGAAGUGCGUCUUCACGUGAAGACAUCCGAGGGUUCCUCCUCGUCGUCGUCGUCACUCGGCGGAGGUGGCCGCACCCCUCCUUCUUUGAGGGGAGGAGGAGGAGGAGGACGAGGAGGAGGAGGCGGGAGCAGCAGCGUCGUCCCAAAUCCAACAUCAACAUUACCCUUGUCGGCGUCGGGCGCACCUUCGACGCCAUCAUCUUCCACCCGGAUCCCCGCCAACAUCCACAGCGUCUCCACAGGCAGUUACCUCACCCGUUGCCCUCCCUCAUCCUCAGGCUCCAGCGAUUCUGUCUCCGACUCCUCCGCCCGGAUCCACACCAACAUCCACAGCCUCUCAGGCAGCCACCUCACCGGUCGAACCCCCACAUGCUGA